ACGCAAACGCAAACGCAAACGCAAACGCACGCAUUAGUCACACCCCCUCUUCCAUAAAAAAAUGUAUCAUGUUAAAAAAAAAAUGCUUACGUUACGAUUUAUAAUUUUUAUAUUUUGUUUAAUGUCGCAAUUAAAAAAAACUGUUUGUACAAAUUACCAAAACGAUUACAUUUCGGAUUUAUUACAACUGGGUAUUUUUGACAAUAAUUUAAAAACAAUAAACAAAGAUAUACUGAACGAAAUUAAUGACACACAUUAUAUAUUUUCUUCUUGUAAAACUUGUAUAAAACUUAUACAACUAAUAAUUAAAAUUAUCAAAAAAAAAAAGAAACUUAUAUAGAUAUAGCUAUAGAAGAUACAUUAGAACUAAAUUUAUGUGAUGUAGAUUUAUGGAAAAAAUAUUUUAAUUUUAAUGAUUUAAUGUAUAACGAGUUUGUAUUAAAACAUUGUACUCAUACUUAUAAUUUAAUUCAAUACGACAUAGAAAAUUUUAUUUAUAAACUAUAUAAUAAUGAAGAAAAAUUUUAUAAAAAAGUAUGUGGAAAAAUUAACUACAUAUGUCAAAGAGCUAUAGAUGAUGAAAAAAAAAAUAAUUCUUAUAAUAAUGACACAAAAGUUAAAUUAAUGUAUGAAUUAUAUUCUGCACAUUUAACUGACAAGGUAAAUAAAAACAUGCUUUUAUUUAUAUUUUUUUUACUUAUUCAUUUAUUUAUUUUUUAUACCAUUUUAUUUAACAUUUGAGAUAUUUUCUAUAUUUAUUCUCAAAGCUUAUAAAAAAAAAAAAAAUAGUGGCAAUUUAGUGAUAGAUGUGAACAUACAUGCAUGUCCAUAUGUACAUAUAUAUACAUAUGUAUAUAUUUUUCUUUUUUUUAUAUGCUUUGUUUCUUAUUAUCUAAUUAAUAAACAGGAAGGAUUUACCUUAACAAGUCAAAAAGUACCAUAUAAAAAAAUUAGCUCUGCUAACAAUAAUGGCUACAAGUUCAUAAAUACAAAAUACGUCGUAAUUCAAUCCAAAAUAAAAACAAUGCAUCAAAAUAAACUGCAUGAUGAUUUUGAAAAUAAUUAUUAUAGAUUAAUUCAAAUUGAUAAACUAGAAGAUAAAACUCGAGAGCUAUUUUCAAAAAUGACAGUACAAGACACAUUUAUAUCUUCUUUGUACAACGAUUUUUAUAGCGACGAAACAGUGCCUAUAGAUUCUAUUUUGGAAAUAAAAAUAAAAAUAUAUCAAGCAUUAGAUAAUGUUGAAGAUGUUGAAAAAGUAUAUAAAUAUAAUUUAAUUAAUUACAUUGACAAUUUUAUUUUAUAUAAACCUUCAUCCACAUAGAUAGUUAAAGCGAUGCAAAUUGAUUAUAUAAUUUAACAGCAAAAUAGAAUGAAUGUGUAUUUAUAUACAUAAUAAAAUAAAGUGAUAUUUUGUUGUUGUUCUAGAU
rnacentral:lncRNA from 1 species